ACAGUCAGUUUGACACUGUACAAACUAACAUUGCAGUAAUACAGGGAAGAUUAGCGUGGCCCCUGCACAAGGAUUACGCACAAGAUCCUGAAGCGUUUCUUAAUUUU
rnacentral:snRNA from 1 species